UACGUAGGGUGCAAGCGUUGUCCGGAAUUAUUGGGUGUAAAGAGCUCGUAGGUGGCCUGUCGCGUCGGCUGUGAAAACCCGCAGCUCAACUGUGGGCUUGCAGCUGAUACGGGCAGGCUUGAGUUCGGUAGGGGAGACUGGAAUUCCUGGUGUAGCGGUGGAAUGCGCAGAUAUCAGGAGGAACACCCGGUGGCGAAGGCGGGUCUCUGGGCAGUAACUGACGCUGAGAAGCGAAAGCGUGGGGAGCGAACAGG
rnacentral:rRNA from 1 species